rnacentral:tRNA from 1 species
AAGAUAAUAAAAAUAAAUUUCUAAUUUAUGUAAAAGUAUAAACUUAUAUCUUU